AGCGAACGCUGGCGGCAGGCCUAACACAUGCAAGUCGAACGGACCCUUCGGGGUUAGUGGCGGACGGGUGAGUAACACGUGGGAACGUGCCUUUAGGUUCGGAAUAGCUCCUGGAAACGGGUGGUAAUGCCGAAUGUGCCCUUCGGGGGAAAGAUUUAUCGCCUUUAGAGCGGCCCGCGUCUGAUUAGCUAGUUGGUGAGGUAAAGCCUACCAAGGCGACGAUCCAUAGCUGGUCUGAGAGGACGACCAGCCACACUGGGACUGAGACACGGCCCAGACUCCUACGGGAGGCAGCAGUGGGGAAUCUUGGACAAUGGGCGCAAGCCUGAUCCAGCCAUGCCGCGUGAGUGAUGAAGGCCCUAGGGUUGUAAAACUCUUUCGUGGGGGACGAUAAUGACGGUACCCCAAGAAGAAGCUCCGGCUAACUUCGUGCCAGCCGCCGCAGUAACAC
rnacentral:rRNA from 1 species